AGUUUGUGGGUUUUGUUGAACUUGAGUUUGUGUCGUGUUUGAACUUGAGUUUGUUGUGUAUUUAAACUUGAGUUUGUGUCAUGUUUGAACUUAAGUUUGUGGUGUUUUUGAACUUGAGGUUGUGGAAAUUGUUAAACUUUAGAAUUGGGUAUUGGCUGAACUUGAGUUUGGUGUAUUUGAACUUGAGUUUGUGUCGUAUUUGAACUUGAGUUUGUAUUGUGUUUGAACUAGAUUUUGUGUGUUUGUUGAACUUGAGGUUGUGGCAAUAUUUAAACUUGAGAUUUGGGUGUUGGUUAAA